CCCACCCCUAACCCGAUCUGCCUCUUUUACUCACCCACUAGCAGGCUGUCACUCACCCACAAAACUUGUCACGCCACGGCCAUUGUUGACCAGCCAUCAUCGCUGUCACGCCACGCCCAUUGCCGACCAGCCCAUCACUGAUCACAUCGCCGUUGACGGUGUGCUUGACGAUUUUGGACCUUUUUCACCUACGUAGGUAAUUAAAUUUAGCAUGUUGAGGAAAGUUUUGAUUUAUUGUAUUUAUAUUUUAAAAUUAUUAGAAAUAAGUUAUUGGAAAUGUAGAUUUUGUUUGAAUUAUAUAUGAUUAAUACAAUUUAUUUUUCAUGGUAUAAAAAUGAAGGAUUUGGAAAAAAAACUACAAAGUCGAAGAUUUUGAAGAAUUAGAUUAACAACAAUUUAAAUGGAAAUAAUGAAAAAACUGAUAAUGAUGUGGAUGUGAAACCAAAAAAGUAUGAGCCAAAGUUUGGGAUGUUGUUUGAUAAACACCAUUAUCUUCUUAUGAGCCAAAAAAGGAAGAAUUAGAUGACAACAAUUAAGGUAAGAUUAAACUACUUACUUAAUUAUUCUACAAUUAAUUUAAUUUUAAUUUUAAUGUAUCUUUUUAUGGAUUUGCAGGAUUCAAAUGUACAAACACCAUUAUCUUCUGAGGUGGAUAUUGUAGUCCCAACGCAUGAGAGCAAUAAGGAUCCUGUAAGUUUUAUGUUCUUUGAUGUAAUACUAUUUAAUUAUUUUAAUUUUUAAUGGUCACUAAAUAAUGGUCAUUAUUUAAGAACCUGUGAUCGCAUACCAAUUACAAGGAUGUGAUAUUUAUCCAUGGUUUCCUUUUGAUUCUUACAUUGUAAGUUAUAAUCCAAUUUCUAUAUUUAUGCCUAGUUAAUUUUGCAUUUUCUGGAAUGUAAUAUGGUUCUUAUUUUGUACAAACUAGCAAUCCCCAUCACUCCCAUCUAUGUUGCCUUAUUCUUCAUCUUGGAUAUCGUAUAAAGGUUCUCAACAAAGGAGUUUUCAGUAAUCGCUACUUCAACAGAAUGAUAAUAACAAAGAAGUUUGAAGCAGACUUAACAGAUUGAUCAUUGACUUAUUCUUUUGUUGUGUUUUGUGUAUUAGUUGGUUGGAUGAUAUUACUCUAGUGCUCAAUGAUUGAACGUGGAAAUAUUUUGAAGGGUUUUUAUCCAUAUAUUCAAAGGGUUAAGUGUGUCAAUAACCAUUACAACAAUAAGAGUAGUUCAUAUAGAAAUGUCAAAUUAACCACACACAAAAGAAAAAGGUACAAAUAACUUAUUUCUAGUAAUUUUAAAAUAUAAAUACAAAAAAAAACCAAAUACUUUUCUAAUCAAAGUAUCACAUACAAGGUU
rnacentral:lncRNA from 1 species